rnacentral:rRNA from 1 species
AUGACGCAGAAGAUCGUGAUCGCGGUGCAGAUGGCGAGCAGCAGGUGCCGGUCCAAGGCGCUGGCGCUGGUGGCGGCCACGCCCGGAGUGGAUUCGGCGGCGCUGGCGGGAGACAGGAAGGACCAGCUGGUGGUCGUCGGCCACGGCGUCGACUCCGUCAAGCUCACCAGCGCGCUGCGUAGGAAGGUCGGCCACGCGCAGCUGGUGCAGGUCGUCGAUGUCAAGAAGGAGGACGGGAAGAAGCCGCCUGCCGCCGUGGUCGAAUGCUACGCGCACUCCGGGUACUCCUACCCGUACGGCUACUACUACCCAUCGCAACCGGCGGCGGUGAACGUCUUCUACGAGCUGCAGCACUACCCUGCUGUUGCCGCCGUCGAGGCGUACGGGUACCCGUGCUCGCGGCCCGAGCCGGGCACCUGUUCGGUAAUGUAG